rnacentral:rRNA from 1 species
UACGUAGGGGGCAAGCGUUGUCCGGAUUUAUUGGGCGUAAAGAGCGUUUAGGCGGCCAGGUAGGUCUGCUGUGAAAACUCGAGGCUUAACCUCGAGGUGUCGGCGGAAACCAUCUGGCUAGAGUCCGGAAGAGGAGAAUGGAAUUCCCGGUGUAGCGGUGAAAUGCGCAGAUAUCAGGAAGAACACCCGUGGCGAAGGCGGCUCUCUGGGACGGUACUGACGCUGAGACGCGAAAGCGUGGGGAGCGAACAGG